rnacentral:rRNA from 1 species
GACGAACCGUGCAAACGUUAUUCGGAAUCACUGGGCUUAAAGGGCGCGUAGGCGGGCAACCAAGUCCGAGGUGAAAUCCUCCAGCUUAACUGGAGAAGUGCCCCGGAUACUGGUGGCCUCGAGGAUGGUAGGGGCAUCUGGAACUAGCGGUGGAGCGGUGAAAUGCGUUGAUAUCGCUAGGAACUCCGGUGGCGAAGGCGAGGUGCUGGACCAUUUCUGACGCUGAGGCGCGAAAGCCAGGGGAGCGAACGGG